UACAGAGGUCCCAAGCGUUGUUCGGAUUCACUGGGCGUAAAGGGUGCGUAGGCGGUCGGGUAAGUCUGACGUGAAAUCUCCAAGCUCAACUUGGAAUGGCGUCGGAUACUAUUCGGCUCGAGGAAUGGAGGGAGACUGGAAUUCUCGGUGUAGCAGUGAAAUGCGUAGAUAUCGAGAGGAACACCAGUGGCGAAGGCGAGUCUCUGGACAUUUCCUGACGCUGAGGCACGAAAGCCAGGGAGCAAACGGG
rnacentral:rRNA from 1 species